CCCUUAGAUGUUCUGGGCCGCACGCGUGCUACACUGAGUGGAUCAGCGGGUCAGGUUGCGCGAAAGCGUUUCCUAAUGUUUAAAUCCGCUCGUGAUGGGGAUUGACGGUUGCAAUUUUCUGUCAUGAACGAGGAAUACCUUGUAAGCGCGGGUCAUCAUCCCGCGCUGAAUACGUCCCUGCCCUUUGUACACACCGCCCGUCGCUCCUACCGAUUGAGUGGUCCGGUGAGGCUUUGGGAUCUGAGCGGAAAGAGCGUUUCGCUGUUUCUGCUCGGAAAACUCAGUCGAACCUUAUCAUUUAGAGGAAGGAGAAGUCGUAACA
rnacentral:rRNA from 1 species